UACAGAGGGGGCAAGCGUUGUUCGGAAUUACUGGGCGUAAAGGGCGCGUAGGCGGCCUGUUAAGUCGAACGUGAAAUCCCCGGGCUUAACCUGGGAAUGGCAUUCGGGACUGCAAGGCUGGAGUGCGGCAGAGGAGACUGGAAUUCCUGGUGUAGCAGUGAAAUGCGUAGAUAUCAGGAGGAAUACCGAUGGCGAAGGCAGGUCUCUGGGACGGUACUGACGCUGAGACGCGAAAGCGUGGGGAGCGAACAGG
rnacentral:rRNA from 1 species